rnacentral:rRNA from 1 species
CCUACGGGAGGCUGCAGUGGGGAAUAUUGGACAAUGGGGGGAACCCUGAUCCAGCCAUGCCGCGUGUGUGAAGAAGGCCCUCGGGUUGUAAAGCACUUUCAGUGAGGAAGAACGCCUGGUGGUUAAUACCCAUCAGGAAAGACAUCACUCACAGAAGAAGCACCGGCUAACUCCGUGCCAGCAGCCGCGGUAAUACGGAGGGUGCGAGCGUUAAUCGGAAUUACUGGGCGUAAAGCGCGCGUAGGUGGCUUGAUAAGCCGGUUGUGAAAGCCCCGGGCUCAACCUGGGAACGGCAUCCGGAACUGUCAAGCUAGAGUGCAGGAGAGGAAGGUAGAAUUCCCGGUGUAGCGGUGAAAUGCGUAGAGAUCGGGAGGAAUACCAGUGGCGAAGGCGGCCUUCUGGACUGACACUGACACUGAAGUGCGAAAGCGUGGGUAGCAAACAGGAUUAGAUACCCGUGUAGUC